GUAUAUCUCGCUGAAAGGGGCGCGGUAAAGCGCGUCCUUGGUAAGGACGAGACCCCGGGUUCAAAUCCCGGCCUAGGCU
rnacentral:tRNA from 1 species